rnacentral:rRNA from 1 species
GCCCAAGAGAUCGGGAUAACACCUGGAAACAGAUGCUAAUACCGGAUAACAACAGAUGAUGCCUAUCAACUGUUUAAAAGAUGGUUCUGCUAUCACUCUUGGAUGGACCUGCGGUGCAUUAGCUAGUUGGUAGGGUAACGGCCUACCAAGGCGAUGAUGCAUAGCCGAGUUGAGAGGCUGAUCGGCCACAUUGGGACUGAGACACGGCCCAAACUCCUACGGGAGGCAGCAGCG